rnacentral:rRNA from 1 species
UACAGAGGGUGCAAGCGUUGUUCGGAAUUAUUGGGCGUAAAGCGCACGUAGGCGGCUUUUUAAGUCAGGGGUGAAAUCCUGGAGCUCAACUCCAGAACUGCCUUUGAUACUGAGAAGCUUGAGUCCGGGAGAGGUGAGUGGAACUGCGAGUGUAGAGGUGAAAUUCGUAGAUAUUCGCAAGAACACCAGUGGCGAAGGCGGCUCACUGGCCCGGUACUGACGCUGAGGUGCGAAAGCGUGGGGAGCAAACAGG